UAGAGUUCUUUAGAGUUCCAGUUUCAGUGACAUGAAGAGUGUGAAGUCUCAUGUGCUUGUAGCCUUGUACAUUUACCAGAUCUGCUUGAUGGGGUUGAUCUAAAAUCUUUCAAACUAUUUGUGACGUCUCUUGAGAUCGCGAGUCGGCCACCAGUUUCAAUCUACAACGCAGUUUCUUCAUGGAAUCGUAAGGUCCUGACACGGAGAUCCUUGAGUCAACGCUGGCUUUUGUCCAUGACAGAAGAGGGACUUCCAUCAACUUUCGCAUCCUUAUCUUCACUACGUACGCUCAUCCAGCUUCACUAAUUCUUGUGCUUCACUGGCGAAUUAGAUCACUUCAGUUUUCGCUUCCGUCCGCUGAGAGACACCUGCAGUCACUCGCCACGAGAUUAUGCCCAGGUAAUGCAGAGGAGACUUCGAGAAGAUGGAUUUUCUCAUCUUUAAAAAUCGUCACCGGUCUCCGUCGGAUGUUGCCCCUGCUCCUGGUGCCAACGAAACUCGUUUGAGAAAAUGGAUAAUGCGCCAACAAAAUACUUCUGGCAAUGGAAAGGGACCAUCACUGGCAACGGAAAGGGACAAUCGCGACCGGCACCGAGACUCGUCAUCAACGUGGAUCAUCGAAUUGUUGGUAUUAUUUCGUUUGUGUCAGUUAACCCGUUGGCUGCCACGCCUUUGUUCUCCCCUAGCUCCUUAGCACGGGCCGCGCUGUU